AGCAGCCGCGGUAAUUCCAGCUCCAAUAGCGUAUAUUAAAGUUGUUGCAGUUAAAAAGCUCGUAGUUGAAUUUCGGGGUCAGUAGGUCGGUCGUGCCAACGGUAUGAACUGGUCUCACUGAUUCCUCCCUCUUGUAGAACCGUGAUGCCAUUAAUUUGGUGUUGCGGGGAAGCAGGACUGUUACUUUGAAAAAAUUAGAGUGUUUAAAGCAAGCUAACGCUUGAAUACAUUAGCAUGGAAUAAUGAAAUAGGACGUCGAUCUUAUUUUGUUGGUUUCUAGGAUUGACGUAAUGAUUAAUAGGGAUAGUUGGGGGCAUUAGUAUUCAAUUGUCAGAGGUGAAAUUCUUGGAUUUAUUGAAGACUAACUACUACGAAAGCAUUUGCCAAGGAUGUUUUCAUUAAUCAAGAACGAAAGUUAGGGGAUCGAAGACGAUCAGAUACCGUCGUAGUCUUAACCAUAAACUAUGCCGACUAGGGAUCGGAUGAUGUUAAUUUUUAAUGACUCAUUCGGCGCCUUACG
rnacentral:rRNA from 1 species